AACGAACGCUGGCGGCAGGCCUAACACAUGCAAGUCGAGCGAGGACUUCGGUCCUAGCGGCGGACGGGUGAGUAACGCGUGGGAACGUGCCCUUUGCUACGGAAUAGCCCCGGGAAACUGGGAGUAAUACCGUAUGUGCCCGAGAGGGGAAAGAUUUAUCGGCAAAGGACCGGCCCGCGUUGGAUUAGGUAGUUGGUGGGGUAAUGGCCUACCAAGCCGACGAUCCAUAGCUGGUUUGAGAGGAUGAUCAGCCACACUGGGACUGGGACACGGCCCAGACUCCUACGGGAGGCAGCAGUGGGGAAUCUUAGACAAUGGGCGCAAGCCUGAUCUAGCCAUGCCGCGUGAGCGAUGAAGGCCUUAGGGUUGUAAAGCUCUUUCAGUGGGGAAGAUAAUGACUGUACCCACAGAAGAAGCCCCGGCUAACUCUGUGCCAGCAGCCGCGGUAACAC
rnacentral:rRNA from 1 species